UUUCGCAUUUCUAUAACAGAUGCAUGUGAACGCAGCUGAUACGGCAUCUGAUCGCGUAGCAUUCAUUACAUUGCAAAUGAAUAGUAGAUUAUCAAUAAUGCGGCGCAGUGAAGAGGUAAUCGAGACUUUGGUGGAACAACCAGUAUGCAGAAGCAACUAAUGAUCAUGAUAAGGUAGGACCUGGAUGACACAUGACGACUCUGCAUUCUGAUUCGUACUAGACCUGGCUCCUCCUUGUGGACAUGAAUGGCACAAUCUCCUUCAAUAUGUUCCUGGGCAUAGCUUGGGGAUAAUUUCAGCUGGUACGUGCCACAUGUCAGAGACCUCAGUUGCUCUUCAUCCAGGUUUGGAAAGUCAGUGAUAUCAUCCAUUUCCUCCCAACAAGCUGAUCGUCUUUCCAAUUUGUUUUCUUCAACAUGCUGCCGAAGGGUGUUGAUUUGCUUUGAUAAGUAAAUCAUUUUUGUACCAAGGAUCUGGUCAUCUUCAGCAUUACCAUUAGAAAUACUUUUCAAGAUUUCAUUGUGAGAUGCAUGUUUAUUUGCAAGUUAUUGGAAUUGAUUAUAAUAUACCUGUUACUGAUGGCACAAACAAUCCUAACAAAAUCUCCAAUGUAAGGAACCUGGCUCGUUGGCAGGAUUUUCCCAAGUUGACAUCUGCCUGUCUCCAUGAGCCAUAAAGGAUGGCAUCUGUGCCUUGAUACCUAGUUCCUCCAAGUAAUCCAAGGAGUCUCUGAAACCAUGGUCCACCACAAAUACAUCAUCCUCGCAAACCCAUCCCUGUGUUUUGGGCAGCAACGAGCUCCAGCAGGAAUUAUGACUUCUUUGGUGAUAAAGAUUCGAUGACGAAAUCCCACUGGAACCACAACUAGCUUUGGUCCUGGCCUUUUGCAGAUGCAACAUGCAGCAUGUCCUCUUGAUGU